GGUAGUUUGACUGGGGCGGUCCUCCCAAAGAGUAACGGAGGCGCGCGAUGGUUGGCUCAGGACGGUCGGAAAUCGUCUGUGAGAGUGUAAGGGCACAAGCCAGCCUGACUGUGACACCGACGGGUGGAGCAGAGACGAAAGUCGGUCCUAGUGAUCCGGUGGUCCCGCGUGGAAGGGCCAUCGCUCAACGGACAAAAGGUACUCCGGGGA
rnacentral:rRNA from 1 species